rnacentral:rRNA from 1 species
UGAGUACGAGACGCUAAGGCGUCGAAGUAGUGGAUGUCAUACUUCCAAGAAAAGCUUGCACUGUCAUAAAUAAAAACGCCUGUACCAUAACCGACACAGGUGGGUAGGUAGAGUAUACUAAGGGGCGCGAGAUAACUCUCUCUAAGGAACUCGGCAAAAUAACUCCGUAACUUCGGGAGAAGGAGUGCCUUAUUCGUAAGGCUGCAAUAACAAGAUCCAAGCAACUGUUUAUCAAAAACACAGGUCUCCGCUAAGUCGUAAGACGAUGUAUGGGGGCUGACGCCUGCCCAGUGCCAGAAGGUUAAAGAAGUCGGUUAGCAUUAGCGAAGCUGGUAACUGAAGCCCUGGUGAACGGCGGCCGUAACGAUAACGGUCCUAAGGUAGCGAAAUUCCUUGUCGGGUAAGUUCCGACCCGCACGAAAGGCGUAAUGAUUUGGAUACUGUCUCGGAGAGGGGCUCGGUGAAAUAGACUUGUCUGUGAAGAUGCGGACUACCUGCACCAGGACAGAAAGACCCUAUGAAGCUUUACUGUAACUUGAAAUUGAAAUUGGACUUUAUUCGCGCAGUAUAGGUGGGAGGUGUUGAUUAUAAUCUUGCGGGAUUAUUGGAGCCAUCAGUGAGAUACCACUCUUGUAAUGUUAGAUUUCUAACUUUGAAUCAUUAUCUGGUCAAAGAACAGUUUCAGGCGGGCAGUUUGACUGGGGCGGUCGCCUCCUAAAUGGUAACGGAGGCGUACAAAGGUUUCCUCUGAACGGGUAGAAAUCGUAUCUAGAGUGUAAAGGCAUAAGGAAGCUUGACUGUGAGACCUACAAGUCGAGCAGGGACGAAAGUCGGUCUUAGUGAUCUGACGGUACUGAGUGGAAAGGCCGUCACUCAACGGAUAAAAGUUACUCUAAGGAUAACAGGCUGAUCUCCCCCAAGAGUUCACAUCGACGGGGAGGUUUGGCACCUCGAUGUCGGCUCAUCGCAUCCUGGGGCGGUAGUACGUCCCAAGGGUUGGGCUGUUCGCCCAUGAAAGCGGUACGCGAGCUGGGUUCAGAACGUCGUGAGACAGUUCGGUCCAUAUCCGGUGUAGGCGUUAGAAUAUUGAGAGGAGCCUUCUUUAGUACGAGAGGACCGAGAAGGACAUACCUCUGGUGUACCAGUUAUCGUGCCAACGGUAAACGCUGGGUAGCUAUGUAUGGAGUGGAUAACCGCUGAAAGCAUCUAAGUGGAAAGCCACCUCAAGAUAAGUAUAC